UGGGUGAGAUUCUGUGGCCUGUGUUGUGCAGGAGGUCAGACUAGAUGAUCAUAAGGUCCCUUCUGACCUUAAAGUAUAUGAGUCUAUGAACUGAUAACAUCAAGAA